ACUGUGCUUCUGAUGACCCGGCCGCCGCCGCCGCCCUGCAACCGCUCCCCGGGACCCCUCAACGCUGACACUGAUGACCCGCGGCGGGGGCGCUGGGCGCGGGGUGCGCAGGCCACUGGCCGCGGGCUCUCGGGCCCGCUCCUGCCGCCGGCUUCUGCUGCUUCCGCGGUAAUGACACUCGGCGGAGCGGCCGCCAUCUCUUCUGAGCCGAGCAUAGAUUGAUGUGGCAUAAGUGCUCAAUAAAUGCCCAUGGACUUGGCUAAUGGAUGGACUUGCAGGGGACACUGCCCCAUCAGGAGAGAAAGGUAGCCUUACUCUCAUCUGCCCCACCAAGAGGAACCUAAGGUCCUAUUUCCUGGGGGUGUCUCAAAAAUCGGCAGAGUCGUUCUCCCCCCACCAUCCCUCCUUGCCUCCACUCCCCUCGGCCUUCUGGAUCCCCGUGGGUUUGGAGAGGCCGAUGCUUGUGGCUCUUACCAACAUCAAUUUGCA
rnacentral:lncRNA from 10 species